AUGUGUAUCCCAGCAAAGAGAGGAGGCACGAAGUUACUGCAAUUGGCAUCUCACCUUUUGCAAAUUAUCUGUAAGGACGGCUCUCUCAUCCCUGAAUCUGCCUAUGCUUCCUCUGCAAAGCCUAGAAAGCAGGAAAGAGUCAGUAAUAAAGUUAUUCCUGAUUCUCCAAACUCGACCCUCAAAGGCUUCUGUGUGCACAUCUCGAGUGUGGCAGGAGAAGGCUGGGCUGCCAUAUUCUCAGACCAUAGUAGGAAGAUGGACUUCUAUCGCUGCAACCUUAUCACCACGUCUGCAGGGCAGGAGUACUGCAGCCUUGGACUUGUAGCAGAGCAGAGGACCCAUAACAGAAUAUAG
rnacentral:lncRNA from 1 species